rnacentral:rRNA from 1 species
UACGUAGGGGGCAAGCGUUACUCGGAUUCACUGGGCGUAAAGCGCGUGUAGGCGGCUGGUCAAGCGUGGUGUGAAAUCUCCGGGCUCAACCCGGAAACUGCACCGCGAACUGGCCUGGCUGGAGUGCAGGAGAGGGAAGGGGAAUUCCCGGUGUAGCGGUGAAAUGCGUGGAUAUCGGGAGGAACACCAGUGGCGAAGGCGCCUUCCUGGCCUGUAACUGACGCUGAUACGCGAAAGCGUGGGGAGCAAACCGG